CCCCUAGUAACGGCGAGUGAAGCGGGAAGAGCUCAAAUUUGAAAUCUGGCGGUCUUCGGCCGCCCGAGUUGUANUCUAGAGAGGCGUNUUCCGUGCCGGACCAUGUACAUGUCUCUUGGAACAGAGCGUCGUAGAGGGUGAGAAUCCCGUCUUUGACRUGGACUACCGGUGCUCUGUGAUGCGCUUUWCAAAGAGUCGAGUUGUUUGGGAAUGCAGCUCAAAAUKGGUGGUAAACUCCAUCUAAAGCUAAAUAUUGGCGAGAGACCGAUAGCGAACAAGUACCGUGAGGGAAAGAUGAAAAGCACUUUGGAAAGAGAGUUAAACAGUACGUGAAAUUGUUGAAAGGGAAGCGCUUGAAGUCAGUCGCGUCUGCCAGGACUCAGCCGUAGCUUCAUGCUCGGUGCAUUUCCUUGUAGAUGGGCCAGCAUCGGUUUCGACCGUUGGAUAAAGGUCAGGGGAAUGUGGCACCNUCGGGUGUGUUAUAGACUCUGAUCGCAUACAUCGGUYGGGACUGAGGAUCUCAGCAUACCAUUAUGGUCGGGGCUUCGGCUCACGUYUAUGCUUAGGAUGC
rnacentral:rRNA from 1 species